rnacentral:rRNA from 1 species
CCUACGGGAGGCAGCAGUGGGGAAUUUUGCGCAAUGGGGGAAACCCUGACGCAGCAACGCCGCGUGAGUGAUGAAGGCCUUCGGGUCGUAAAGCUCUGUCGGAAGGGAAGAAAUGGCAUAAUGUUAAUACCAUUGUGUCUUGACGGUACCUUCAAAGGAAGCAUCGGCUAACUCCGUGCCAGCAGCCGCGGUAAU